GCGGAUGUAGCCCAAGUAUUGACGAUACGC
rnacentral:tRNA from 1 species